CUACGGGGGGCACCAGUGGGGAAUCUUGCGCAAUGGGCGAAAGCCUGACGCAGCAACGCCGCGUGCGGGAUGAAGGCCUUCGGGCUGUAAACCGCUUUCAGCAGGAACGAAAAUGACGGUACCUGCAGAAGAAGGAGCGGCCAACUACGCGCCAGCAGCCGCGGUGACACGUAGGCUCCAAGCGUUGUCCGGAUUUAUUGGGCGUAAAGAGCUCGUAGGCGGUUGAGUAAGUCGGGUGUGAAAACUCUGGGCUUAACCCGGGGACGCCAUCCGAUACUGCUCUGACUAGAGUUCAGGAGGGGAGUGGGGAAUUCCUAGUGUAGCGGUGAAAUGCGCAGAUAUUAGGAGGAACACCGGUGGCGAAGGCGCCACUCUGGACUGAAACUGACGCUGAGGAGCGAAAGCAUGGGUAGCAAACAGGAUUAGAUACCCGGGUAGUC
rnacentral:rRNA from 1 species